AGUGAACGCUGGCGGUAGGCCUAACACAUGCAAGUCGAACGGCAGCACAGUAAGAGCUUGCUCUUACGGGUGGCGAGUGGCGGACGGGUGAGGAAUGCAUCGGAAUCUACUUUUUCGUGGGGGAUAACGUAGGGAAACUUACGCUAAUACCGCAUACGACCUACGGGUGAAAGCAGGGGAUCUUCGGACCUUGCGCGAUUGAAUGAGCCGAUGUCGGAUUAGCUAGUUGGCGGGGUAAAGGCCCACCAAGGCGACGAUCCGUAGCUGGUCCGAGAGGAUGAUCAGCCACACUGGAACUGAGACACGGUCCAGACUCCUACGGGAGGCAGCAGUGGGGAAUAUUGGACAAUGGGCGCAAGCCUGAUCCAGCCAUACCGCGUGGGUGAAGAAGGCCUUCGGGUUGUAAAGCCCUUUUGUUGGGAAAGAAAAGCAGCAGGUUAAUACCCCGCUGUUCUGACGGUACCCAAAGAAUAAGCACCGGCUAACUUCGUG
rnacentral:rRNA from 1 species